CCUACGGGAGGCAGCAGUGGAGAAUAAUGGGCAAUGGGCGCAAGCCUGACGCAGCGACGCCGCGUGAGGGAAGAAGGCUUUCGGGAUGGAAACUUCCUUUGACAGGGAAGAGAAGAAGAAGGUACCUGCCGAAAAAGCCAGGGCGAACUACGUGCCAGCCGCCGCUGUCAUACGUAGGUGGCAAGCGUUGUCCGGAUUUACUGGGUGGAAAGGACGUGUAGCCGGGUUGACAAGUCAGAUGUGAAAGCCGGCGGCUUAACCGCCGAACUGCAUUUGAUACUGUUGAUCUUGGGUAAUUGAGAGGCAGCCGGAAUUCCUGGUGUAGCGGUGAAAUGCGUAGAUAUUAGGAGGAACACUAGUGGCGAAGGCGGUUUGCUGGACAUCAACUGACGGUGAGGCACGAAAGCGUGGGGAGCGAACAGGAUUAGAUACCCUUGUAGUC
rnacentral:rRNA from 1 species